rnacentral:rRNA from 1 species
GACGAACGCUGGCGGCGUGCUUAACACAUGCAAGUCGAACGGUGAAGCGCCUUCCUUUUUGGUGGGUGUGGAUGAGUGGCGGACGGGUGAGCAACACGUGAGUAUCCUUCCCCCUUCUGCUUGAUAACCGCAUGAAAGUGUUGCUAAUACAGGAUAUUUUGGCUCUGUCGCAUCAUGGGUUUGGGAAAGUUAUUGUUUCGGUGGGAGAUGGGCUCGCGGCCUAUCAGCUUGUUGGUGGGGUGAAGGCCUACCAAGGCGGGGACGGGUAGCCGGCCUGAGAGGAUGGACGGCCGGGCUGGGACUGAGACACGGCACAGACGCCUAGGGGAGGCAGCAGGGGGGCUUCGUGAAGAAUGGGCGCAAGACUGAGGCAGCGAGGCCGAGUGAUGGAUGGGGGCCGUCGGGUGGGGAACCUAUUUCGCAAGUGAAGAAGGCCUGCCUAGCUGGUGGGUGGGUUAAAGGUAGCGGGAUAAAAGGCGCCGGCAAACUACGG